rnacentral:rRNA from 1 species
UAGCUAGUUGGCGGGGUAACGGCCCACCAAGGCUUUGAUCGGUAUCCGGCCUGAGAGGGCGCACGGACACACUGGAACUGAAACACGGUCCAGACUCCUACGGGAGGCAGCAGUGGGGAAUUUUGCGCAAUGGGGGAAACCCUGACGCAGCAACGCCGCGUGGAGGAUGAAGUCCCUUGGGACGUAAACUCCUUUCGACCCGGACGAUAAUGACGGUACGGGUGGAAGAAGCCCCGGCUAACUUCGUGCCAGCAGCCGCGGUAAUACGAGGGGGGCAAGCGUUGUUCGGAAUUAUUGGGC